CAGCCGCCACGGUAAUACCAGCAGCCCAAGUGGUGGUCGCGCUUAUUGGGCCUAAAGCGCUCGUAGCCUGGCCGGUAAGUUCCCCGUGAAAUCGGGUCGCCCAACGAUUCGGCUUGCGGGGAAUACUGUCGGUCUUGGGGCCGGGAGACGCCGAGGGUACUCCGGGGGUAGCGGUGAAAUGCUGUAAUCCUCGGGGGACUACCAGUGGCGAAGGCGCUCGGCGAUAACGGGCCUGACGGUGAGGGGCGAAAGCUGGGGGCGCGAACGGGAUUAGAUACCCCGGUAGUCCCUGUCUCUUAUA
rnacentral:rRNA from 1 species